rnacentral:tmRNA from 1 species
GGAGAGGGUCAAAAACCGGUUGCCAAUUCCGACUCGUCGAGCGUCACUGAUCGGCACGCGCUCGAUUAAAUCCUGUUCCGAUCUAGCAACGCUGACACCCGGUCGACAGGGGGUCGCCGCGCGAAACCUAAAUUAGUCGACUACGCGCGUAGAAGCUUCUGUGAAAAUAUCGCGGGACGCGGGUUCGAUUCCCGCCGCCUCCACUU